rnacentral:rRNA from 1 species
UACGAAGGGGGCUAGCGUUGCUCGGAAUCACUGGGCGUAAAGCGCACGUAGGCGGAUUGCUAAGUCAGGGGUGAAAUCCUGGGAGCUCAACUCCAGAACUGCCUUUGAUACUGGCCGAUCUCGAGUUCGGGAGAGGUGAGUGGAACUGCGAGUGUAGAGGUGAAAUUCGUAGAUAUUCGCAAGAACACCAGUGGCGAAGGCGGACUCACUG